GAGAGGAGAUUAUAAUGAGAUUACUGGAUUGCCUAUGAAAGAUAGACGGAGCCAUAAGAAAGAUUAGACUUCCAAAUCAAUUACUGCUACUACUACAACAACAAUAGCAAUCAACAAGUAGGUCUGAUUCGAGUUUGUUUUUUUUUUAGAAAGUAAGAAGAAAUUGAAUUUCACUUUUUGGUGUUGAUAAUCUUGUUGUUUGAAAUGGGGAAAAUUUGAUGUUUCGAAUUGUACUCUCUGUUUAGAUCUUUGAAUGGAUAUCAUCACAUUUUGGUGUUUUUGUCUUUCUUGUUUUCCCUAUUUUUAUGCAUUUUUUUUAGUUUCUAGCAUGUUUGGGAGCCAUGUACU
rnacentral:lncRNA from 1 species